AGCAAAGCUACCCGGGCAGAUGGGACCGACAUCCAGCCAGAGACAAAGUCCUGCUUUAACAGCUGAGAAAAUGUGCUGGCGGAUGAUAUACGACGUCGAUUAACCAAUCGUGCGGCGCAGGUCUGGGCGAACAUGCGAGCGGCUGAAGUGGGAAAGUGGAUACCUGGGACUUAUUUGGCUGAUUGAGGCUGUUUAUCAAGAAGUAACAGAGAGCUCUUGGAGAUGUAGAUCCUGUAGAAGGAGCUGGGUUGCAAACAGCUCCCUGGCACAUCAAAGCCUGCAGAGGUGCAUCCCACACCAUGGCCACUAACCCACCGCUGCCUGUCUGAGGCAGCACAGGAAAGUCAGCUCCAGAGGAUUUAUUUGGACCAUGGGGGACAACGGUUGGAUGUCAACACCAUAUAGAAACCGACCUACUACAGGCUGUGUUAUUUUCCUUAUUGCCUCCAGAGAACACACACCUUCUGAAGUUUCCUAACAUGUUGCCUCAUAAGGUGCUUUCACAACAUCCAUGCCGCGGAUACAUUAGCCAGCCUCAGCAGAGCAUAAUUCCGGUCUCAUAAAUCUUCCAGCAAUUACGAGGCCUCAUUCAACCUCCCCGUGAGAUAAAACAACUGCUGCAUCGUGGCGUCACAAUGGGAUUUUUCUUUUUUUUUUUUUAGCUUUUGCUUUCCAACAAAUCAACUCUGCAAAAUGACAAGUGCAGUGUGCUGCCUUCCACAUGGAGCCCUGGGAUACAAAACCAGCCCAUCCUUUCCUUAUUUUCUUGACAAAAACAUAGAAUCUUUAAGGCUGGAAAAGACCUCCAAGAUCAAUUCCAACUCCAACACACCCCCCAUACCCACUGCCCACGUCCCUCUGUGCCACAUCUCCGUGGUUCUGGAACACCUCCAGGGAUGGUGACCCCACCACACCUGGGCAGCUGUGCACUGCAGCACCACUCUGUCUUAGAAUAAAUUUUAGCUCAUAUCCAGCCUGAACCUCCAUCCUAGACGUCGUUGUUUGUCACCUACCGAGGAGAAGCAGGGAGUCCAUCUAGAACAGGAAGAAAUCCAGUAUUCUGAGUUACCAGCAUUGGGCAGUGGCAUCCAGGUAAGCGCAGCCAAAGGGCAGGACCUCUGUGAGCCAUCUGGC
ensembl:lncRNA